GACGAACGCUGGCGGCGUGCUUAACACAUGCAAGUCGAACGGAAAGGCCCUGCUUUUGUGGGGUGCUCGAGUGGCGAACGGGUGAGUAACACGUGAGUAACCUGCCCUUGACUUUGGGAUAACUUCAGGAAACUGGGGCUAAUACCGGAUAGGAGCUCCUGCUGCAUGGUGGGGGUUGGAAAGUUUCGGCGGUUGGGGAUGGACUCGCGGCUUAUCAGCUUGUUGGUGGGGUAGUGGCUUACCAAGGCUUUGACGGGUAGCCGGCCUGAGAGGGUGACCGGCCACAUUGGGACGGAGAUACGGCACAGACGCCUACGGGAGGCAGCAGUGGGGAAAAUGGCACAAUGGGCGGAAGCCUGAUGCAGCAACGCCGAGUGCGGGAGGACGGCCUUCGGGUUGGAAACCGCUUUCGCCUGUGACGAAGCGUGAGUGACGGUAAUGGGUAAAGAAGCACCGGCUAACUACGU
rnacentral:rRNA from 1 species